rnacentral:rRNA from 1 species
UGGUGGAGUGAUUUGUCUGGUUAAUUUCGUUAACGAACGAGACCUUGUCUGACUAAAUAAUUACGUGUAGUGUGUUUACAUGGGCAACUUCUUAGAGGGACUUUGUGUGCUUAACACAAGGAAGUUUGAGGUGAUAACA